rnacentral:tRNA from 2 species
GCGGGUGUAGUUCAGUAGCAGAACAGCCUCCCUCCAGGAGGAAGACGUACGUGCGAUUCGUGCCACCUGCUCCA